GCUGAGAGGGCGUGGCUCCACAAAGGGAGGAGAUGGCUCACUGAAAAGCCUCAGCCACAAGAGUAGGGGGAAAGACCUGAACUGACAGGAUCUGUGACCUAUUUCUAGGUCCUUGAUACCUCCUCAGGGGCUGGGGAGUUGGGACUUAGUGGAUGCCUGCUAAGAGGAAGGAAUUAUCACCCAGAUGUCCAGGAUGGGCUGAAUAUGAGAUAUUGAAAAUGAAGCUGAAGGCCUGACUGACAGCCCCAACAUCCCAACACACUGAGGCAAAGCAGGCCUGGGGACCACCAAGGUGACAGGUCAUCGGCGCUUUCAUCUGUGAGGACCAUUUAUUUUCUAGCACCUGGUUUAUUUUACUUAAUGGAUGCUGGAUUCCAUGCCUGCGUUUCCCUCUCUGCAUUAGCUGCCAGAUGCUUCAAGUCAAAUGUAAAGCCUCCAGUCAGCAGUGUGUGGAAACAGGGCGUGCCUGGAGUCUGGAGCCUCCAGCAGGAUUCCAUCUGAUAUUCUUUUGCUACUGUUGCAUGAGGCUUUAAGCACAUCUUUAAUCUUGCUAUUGUCUUGGGCGCUAGCUACAAAGUGACAAGAAAAUAAAUGAAAGUUCUUAUUUCCCUGCAUGCUCAGACAACCCAGUCUCUCUCGGCUUAAUUGUCUCUAUCUGCAGAUCUGGGAUAAUGCCUUGUAUAAAAAUUUGUUAAGGAUUAAGGGAAACAAUACAGGUAAAAAGAUAUUGUAGAUUCGGCAGUGCGCUAGAAACAUAAGGUUGUCUUGUUGGCUUGCUGUUACUGAGAGCGAGAUGUGAUCCCUGUUCCUGGAUUAUCUACAUCACAAAUAGUUGGCCCAGCUUGGGAAAGAGAGACAGUGCUGGCUCCUCAGGACUCAGAGCUGUGUCCCUGAGAAGAUACUCAAGAGUUGCAUGGUACAAAGAAGCCCAAAAGUAGAUUCAAGCUACCCUCUCCACAGGCACGGUUCAGCUUGAAGCUAUCUGGCUGGAGGUGGUUCCUUGUGAGGUCCUAGGAGACCCUCCAGAUAGAAUUUGGGAAGGUUUCAUCCCUAUCAUCUGGUGAGAGGAGACCAAUGGCCUAACAUCUCAGAAUUCUGAUUACAAGGGAACAGUAGCCAUGGCCUACAUUGGCCACCAGCCUGGCCUCACUGCCCUACUUCUGAGCCUCCCCCCUGCCCACCUCCUUUCUUCUGCUUUUCAUAAUACAUCAUUACCUUUCUUUCAGCAUUCUUAAUUGUCCAUGUGUGCAUGUGUGCAUAUGCCAUGUGUGUGCAGGGGCCUGCAGAGCCCAGGAGAGGGUGUCAGAGUCCCUGGAGCUGGAGUCACAGGGAGUUAUGAGCUGCCCGAUAUGAGUACUGGGCACUGAACUCCAGUUCUUUGGAACAGCAAAUGUCCUCAACUGAAGAGACACCUUUCCAGGCUUGCCUUCCGAGCAUUUUUUCUUUUUUGAGAAUUACUUAAUUCUGGAGACGUCACAGGUCUGAACAUUCUAGAGCAUUCACAUGACAUUUUAACAAUGGAGGAUUUUGUGACAAAUACUGUCUACCUUUUCCUUUCUCCUCACUUCUUUUCCUCUCUUUCCUUCUUCUUUCUUUCUUUCCAAAAUAUCUAAAAUAGGUAUGUAACUGUCGAUCUACCUUGAGCAAAGGAAGAUACAAAUACAUUCGAGUUUUAUAGCACCUAAGCUAUCCAGCCAGGUAUGGGACCCAUAGCUACCAGCACUGCACUUACGGGGUUGAGGCAAGAUGAUCGUUGCAAGUUUCAUGCCAACCUGAAUGAUAUGGUGAGACCCAGGCUAGCCUGGGCUAUUGAGUAAGGCUUUAUGACUGAAUAAAUAAACAAAUGAGAAACUGAUCUCGGUUUUGCUUCUCUGCUUUAAAGCUCUUUGGCUCCAGGGAAUUCCCCCAGCUCGUCUCAUCUAUAAAAUGGAUUUCUUUCUGUAUUGAGCAGGUGAAAUGAGGUUUUCUGUGCUCCGUUCUUAGGCCUGUGGAGUGGUUGUUUUCCAUACCUGGUUACUGAGGGAAUCGAGGAUGCUAUUUGGUGGAGGCCACACAAGCAAGGACAGCUUCAAGCCCUGCACAGCAGGCUCAGAAUCAUGGUCACCAAAGGUUCUUGGUGCUGAGUCUACCCCCAUACCAAAAUCCUUCCCAGACCUCAAAAAUCCUGGAUAUGGCC